rnacentral:misc_RNA from 1 species
CGACCCGCGAACUCGUACAACACAACCUGGGGGCGAGGGGCCAAACGGCCCCGGACCUCCUUGGCUCGGUGGGGGCCAACUCGGGCGUCGCCGGUCGGGGCCCGCUGUUGUUGCCUUCCCCGCCACACAAACAAACCCCGGCGCAAACCGCGCCAAGGAACUCGAACGAAUCAGCACGCCCCGGUGCCCCAAAAAUGGUGCGUGUCCGGGGCGCCGCGUUGUAUUCUUUAUGUCAAAACGACUCUYGGCAACGGAUAUYUCGGCUCUCGCAUCGAUGAAGAACGUAGCGAAAUGCGAUACUUGGUGUGAAUUGCAGAAUCCCGUGAACCAUCGAGUCUUUGAACGCAAGUUGCGCCCAAAGCCAUUAGGCCGAGGGCACGUYUGCCUGGGCGUCACACAACGUUGCCCCCCCAACCCCAAACCUYGACUUUGAGGAGGACGGGGGGCGGAUUUUGGCCUCCCGUGCGCCCCGGCCCGCGGUUGGCCCAAAUGUGAGUACUUGGCGACGAGCGCCGCGGCAAUCGGUGGUUGUCCAACCCU